UUUGCAACAUGAUGAACCAUAGCACUGGGCACCGAAAAAUAAUGAGUGACAAGCUUAAAGAGGGCCUAGAAAACCCUCGUUCACUGACAGA
rfam:Yarrowia lipolytica strain CLIB122 chromosome A complete sequence.